AUUGAACGCUGGCGGCAGGCCUAACACAUGCAAGUCGAACGAGUGGCGGACGGGUGAGUAAUGUCUGGGAAACUGCCCGAUGGAGGGGGAUAACUACUGGAAACGGUAGCUAAUACCGCAUACCAUCGGAUGUGCCCAGAUGGGAUUAGCUUGUAGGUGAGGUAACGGCUCACCUAGGCGACGAUCCCUAGCUGGUCUGAGAGGAUGACCAGCCAAACAGGAGGUGAGACACGGUCCAGAAUCCUACGGUAGGCAGCAGAGGGGAAUGUUGCACAAUGGGCGCAGGCCUGAUGCAGCCAUGCCGCGUCUAUGAAGAAGGCCUUCGGGUUGUAAAGUACUUUCAGCGGGGAGGCGUUACCCGCAGAAGAAGGACCGGCUAACUCCGUGCCCGCAGCCGCGGUAAUUC
rnacentral:rRNA from 1 species